rnacentral:rRNA from 1 species
ACUUUCAGCAGUGAGGAAGGUGGAUAUGUUAAUAGCAUAUUCAUUUUGACGUUAGCUGCAGAAGAAGCACCGGCUAACUCCGUGCCAGCAGCCGCGGUAAUACGGAGGGUGCGAGCGUUAAUCGGAAUUACUGGGCGUAAAGCGCAUGCAGGUGGUUUGUUAAGUCAGAUGUGAAAGCCCGGGGCUCAACCUCGGAAUUGCAUUUGAAACUGGCAAACUAGAGUACUGUAGAGGGGGUAGGAAUUUCAGGUGUAGCGGUGAAAUGCGUAGAGAUCUGAAGGAAUACCGGUGGCGAAGGACGGCCCCCUCGGACAGAUACUGACACUCAGAUGCGAAAGCGUGGGGAGCAAACAGGAUUAGAUACCCUGGUAG